rnacentral:rRNA from 1 species
GACUAGAGUUUGAUCCUGGCUCAGAUUGAACGCUAGCGGGAUGCUUUACACAUGCAAGUCGAACGGCAGCGCGGACUUCGGUCUGGCGGCGAGUGGCGAACGGGUGAGUAAUGUAUCGGAACGUGCCCAGUAGCGGGGGAUAACUACGCGAAAGCGUAGCUAAUACCGCAUACGCCCUACGGGGAAAGGGGGGAUCGCAAGACCUCUCACUAUUGGAGCGGCCGAUAUCGGAUUAGCUAGUUGGUGGGGUAAAGGCCUACCAAGGCGACGAUCCGUAGCUGGUUUGAGAGGACGACCAGCCACACUGGGACUGAGACACGGCCCAGACUCCUACGGGAGGCAGCAGUGGGGAAUUUUGGACAAUGGGGGCAACCCUGAUCCAGCCAUCCCGCGUGUGCGAUGAAGGCCUUCGGGUUGUAAAGCACUUUUGGCAGGGAAGAAAUAGGUCUGGCUAAUAUCUGGACUGACUGACGGUACCUGCAGAAUAAGCACCGGCUAACUAC